GACACAUCCUAUGAUAAAUCAGAUAACUGAGAUACAUAUCAGACGUAACAUUACAACUUGUAUCAGCACAAUAGGAUGCUAAGUUAUGCGUGAGAGAGAGAGAGCGCGCGCCAGCUCCCUCUGAUGCAUUUUCAUGACAGCGCGCUGAAAGAUGGGCAUGGACAGAUUUUACUAUAGAUUCCUAUAAAGUUCUCAUUAUAAAUGUAUGGCAGAUUUGUGCUAUAUUUUCAUCUACGUUAUUAAGUGUAAUAGUUGUAAUUAAGUUUUAUUUUUAAGUUAAGUUUUAUUUUCCAUAAACCAGCUGCGCGUUUUCGAAGCCAUAUGAAUUGCAUUUUAUGCCCACAAAUACGACGGAAAAAAAGCUUGGCUGCAUUAUUAUAACAUCAAUAAUAAAAUAAUAACAAUAAUAAUAGAA